CAGACAGAUUGCGGAAAGGGCAGGUAUGGUUUUUAUGUCCCUUACAUCUUUCAUUACAAUAUUCCUUCCUUUGAUUUGCUAGCAUUUGCUACCACAUAUACAAUGUUCAUGCAGUAUAUUGGCUUAUCUUCAAAAAAAAUAAGCAAGAAUCAUCAACUGCUUUCAUCUUUUUCCCAACUUUUCAAGGUUCUAUGCUGUCAAUAACUUUGGCUUUGGUCAAAGAACAUAGCCACAUGUUGUUAUUGGUAAGAGAGUGAAAUGUGAAUUCACAAGCUAUGAUAGGCAAUAAUUAUUAAGUGGUGAAAGAAUAAUGCAACAGUUGAUUCUGAAUUUAGAGUGAGAACUGCAUUACCAUGAGCAUUCAUAUUUAAUGGAACUUAUGGAAGUCAAGUUAGCAUGAGAAGAUUUUGGGCAUAAUCUCUUGUUAAUAUUGUUUUCUGCUGGGCUGCGAAGAAAGAUAAGGUUGCUAAUUCUAAGGGAUCUGCUAGAGUGCUCUUUCAUGGUUUGAGUAGGGGGCACAUCAUAAACUAGAACAUGUUUAUCAUGGGGUAGCAGCAAAAGGUGAAAUUGGAAUGAGCUAACAGAUCUCUUAAUGUUUUGCUUGAACGUGAUAGAAAAUCAGGAUAUAUUACUUAGUUGGAGACAUGUACAAUAGCUUCAAUUGAAUGAGGUAGGUUGACCUGAAGUUUUUGGUAGUGUACAAAACUUCCUGAUCCUUUGGGAGAAAAAGUUCAUUUAUUGAAAAGGAUGCUUAAGACUGAUCUGUGGAAGAUUACUUGUGAAUGGAAUUUCAGGAUUAGGAAUUUGUCAAUCCACAAUCUGUCUGCUAUCUGAAUAAUUCUAUGGUUCAUUUAAUUAUAAAUUAGUAUAACUAUCAAUAUGAUGCAGAUUGUUGAAUCAAUUAUCAUUUUCCAAUGCAUUAUGCCUUUGGCAUGAUGUUUGCAAGCCAAGAUAUAAACAGGCAUGCAAGUGCUAACAUUUUAGUUCUCCAAAUUUUAUUUUCCAGGCACUUAACAAUCUUGGAAGC
rnacentral:misc_RNA from 1 species